CUUGCACAGCUAUUCAGGAAGAAAACUGCUGUGGAACAAAUCCUGCUGCACAAAUUACCUGAAACUUACCAAGAUUCCUCCCCAUCCUUAGAGGAGCCUUCUCCUGCAAAAGCAGCCAAAGGACAUCCAGACUGAGCUGCUCAGUAAAGU